rnacentral:tRNA from 1 species
GCGCGGGUAGUUCAGUGGUAGAACGCUACUCUGAUAAAGUAGAAGUGGGAGGUUCGAUUCCUCCUCCGCGCA